CCCACAGCGACUAAAAAGGCAGCGCAACAUGACAUUACUAAUCAUAUCCAGACGAGAGGGUCACCCAUCGUCACGAAAUGCCGUCGAUAAGUUGGCUGCCGCUAAAAAAAGAAUUUCAAUUAAUGAUCGAAUCGCAGUACACGGGCCAGUCCGCUACGCUCCGUUCAAAAGAAAAACUGAGAAUGCAGAUUCUUGGGAGAUUACCGUGCUCUAAAUCAGAGGAAAUCCGUAUUCACUACGUCAGAUCUGUAGAAAGCGUAUCACCAAAUUCCAGUCGAUGUAUCGGAUAUUCUCAAGAAGGUUGUAAUCAUACCAUUCGGGUUGUGUAAAUUUAUACGUAUGCAAUUUGGCUUACACAAUGCUUCACAAGCCUUUCAAAGGUUUUUGUCGAUAUGGACGAUGCAUCAUCGCUUCAGCUACUACCGUGGAGGAACAUUAUCAACAUGUUCGCGCUGUUUUCGAACGACUCCAAUCUUACGAACUUUCAUCAACGUCGCUUUGCAGAAUUUACGAUUAAAUGCCAUGGUUACGAGGUGAGUGAAACUGGUAUACUUCUCCUUCCGGACUGAGUGAAGGUGGUGACCGACUAUUCAGUACCAUCAACGGCCAAAGAAACUCCGCCGAUUCCUAGCUCUCGUAAAUUGCCAAAAGCGAUUCAUUUCACGCGCAACGGAUGUACAAGUUGAGCUAAGUUCUCUGAUUCCUGGGAAUAGAAUGAAUGAUUCAAGAAAGCUGUUGAUGUUAGUUAUCCACUAGGGAGAGAUAUUCGGAAACGCCAUCUUGAGACAGCAAAACUCAAAUUCUAGAGCCAGCCGAGCCAAACUAUCUCUUUUUUUGGAGGACUGCUAGAUUUGCAAGUUUUUUCGCUUUUCUCUCCGCAUAUCUCUCCCUAGAGGAUAAGUUGUUGUGGUCAGAAGAAGCAACAGCUGCGUUCAACAAAUGCAAACAUUCCCUGUCAUAAGCAACACUAUUGCCCUAUGCCAAUCCUAUCAUGCUACUUGGUCUGCUAAUCGAUGAUUCAAAUACCGCAGCGGGGGCUGUACUUCAACAGCUAAAUAUAGGCAGCUAGGAGCCAUUGGGUCCAGAAAAUGUUUCUUCCGCUCAAAUCAAAUAUUCUACCUUUGGGCGCGAAUCAACAGCGUCAGUGCAGUAUUUUGGGCACAUGCUGGAGGGACGUGAUUUUCACGCUCACGGCUGCUCUUACGGUCAGCCGAACACCAGGCUUCCACACGAUGAACGUUAUCUGUAAUUUAUUUCGCAAUUUACGAACGACAUUCGUCACAUUAGCGGACAGCAGCAAAACAUCAUAGCAGAUGCACUAUCAAGAGUGGAGACAGUGCUGAUUUCUUCACCGUUCAACUUCGAAAAAAUAUCUAGUCGAUAGCGAACUGCACGGGUUACUGAAAUUACCUACAUCGCUUAAGUUGAAGGUUCGCUAAGUUCAAAACCACUGUACUGUGAAUGUGAUACGUCUCACAAUGAACUUAGAUCGUAUAUUCCUCCGCACACAUAGGGAAAAAAUAAUGCACCACAUGCAUAGACUGGUAUGCCCUGAAGCACGUGCCACUCGUCGCCUAAUAGCAAGCCACUUCGUAUGGACAAGGAUAUUACUUGACACGCCCGUAACUGGCAUACCGUGCCAACGUUUGAAAAUUCAUCGUGACCCAAGAGCUUCGUUUGACAAAUUUAAUGGGAUCAGCUAGCCUACCACCAAGCGAUUAGGAUUGAUAAUAGAUGUUUCGAAUACAUCGGCUGGAGUAGUACUACAGCUCAGUACGUGGAACUGAUUCUUGCAGCCAUUACGUUUUUCUCUUCAGCACAAAUGAAAUAAUGUCCGUGAAAUUUUCAUCGAAGUUCGAAAAGUUGCCAAUCAUCGGCCUCUAACUCAUUCAGCUGGUGCUACCAGUAAGAAUUAUUUACCCCUCCGAACAAUGAAGUUGGUGACACUCUUUCUCGCCUCGAAUCAAUACAAUAUCACCUAUUUCGGUCUGAUUUAACACCGACCAAUUGAUCUUAGAAUGGAUAUAAUUAACCCUCCGGAAGUCGCGCAUAUGGCCCACUGAACGAGCAGCCGCUGAUGCCUUAAGACGAUUUCGCUAGUUUUUCAGAGCAGCGUACACUCAGUGCACUAGCGCGACUUCCAGUAGGUUAAGAACCUCACAUGCUUAACGUUGGCAUCGCUGGAACUGCAAAAAAAAUCACUGAAAUUUGGUGACUUUCUUGUGAUAUAUCAGGAAGGAUUCUGAAUUUCAGUUUUGAUGUUACACUGUGUAAACUAUCAGCUUAACGAGAAUCAAGAACACUCGUACUCGAGUAGUCUUUUCAUUAAAUAAAGCAACCGUUUUGGUUAAAAAGUCCGAAACGAAGCAGCGUGUGUAAUUAUUCUAUUAUUCGAGUGAAUCGUUAAAAAGUAUAGUUUAACGAUUAGUUCUCAGUUGUGAAAUAAAACACUCUGUUUAUCUUCACUGAUUACCCACGUUCUCUGACUGUAGUCUAAAAACGAGAAAUGAAAACCUACUCUCUUGCAUCGAUGGCAAAACAAUUCGGUAAAUAAUGAAAUACAGUUGUACCUACCAUAACGGGUUAACUAAACACCGAGUUCAGCGAACGUUUGACAAAUUCAAUUAUGUUAAUACUACAAAAGACGACAUUCGAUCGUUCAACCAAUUAGCCAUAAUGCAACAAAGGAAAAUAAACAAAAAUAAAAAUAGAAAAGUUUGAUUUUCCAAACGAAACUGUACGAAGAGUUAUUCUUAAUUCAAUCAACACUAACAUUACUCUACCCGUUACUACCUAUAUCAUUAUCAUUGUCCUAUAUCUACGUUCGGUUAUACGAUAAGCGAAGGUGUCCUGCUUUGCUUGUAGAGCAGUGUUGUAGUUCCACCAGAAAUAUCCAUGCGACGUUGUUGUAGCAGGUAUUAUAUUACUAUAUCAAACUCAGGCAAAUCUCUCGGCUAUUUAAAUCGAUAUCAGUUGACGAAGGGGGGAGAAAGAAAAAUGAGACAAACGCCGUUGAUGUGCGAACACAGCAAUUCACUGAGAGCAGAUAGUAAAACAGAGGCCAGGCUGGUUCCCCAAAUUCCAAUAAUAGCGGACGUAAAUGCUAUGUAUCGUUUGGUUCUCUUUUGAUUUUUAGCAGCAUAGGGAAGUUGAAUGAUAAAAUAAAAUAAACCUUUUGAACAACAGUACUGAUAAUAGCACUAAAAGUUUAGAUGGCAAACUGAUAAAUAUUGAGUGUAAUAAUUCUAUUACUACAAAUAAAUACUAGUAUCAAACUGUUCUUUAAGUAACAAUAAACAAUGAGAAAAAAAAAUCAAGGGAAAACAUAAAAAAGAAGAAAGACGAGAUCUUAUGAGUGGAAAAGCUGAUUUAUACGAAAACUAGGCAAAGGACUGUCACUUGUUAGGAUGUAAAAUAUAGCAGAAAGAUGGAUCGAGCUAAAUGAAAAAAAAACAGAGCAAAUAUUAUGAAAACAAAAUUUUGUAAAUAGAUAUACACAGUUAGGGUAGAAUAAAAUUAAUUCAGUAACCAUUUUUAUCAGCACGAUGAUAAUUAAUAAUACUACUAGGACGUUUCGAAGCAGUUGAAAAUUAAACGAUUAGGCUGGAGUAGUGUUUCAGUAAUAAAAAAACAAAUAGACUACUGAUGAUAACCGCAAAGCUUUCGGCAUAGUAAAGCGAUUAUGAACUUUGAAAUUACUCUUAAAAGUAUCUAAAUGAAUAAAAUUAUUUACAAGCAAGUAAGA